rnacentral:rRNA from 1 species
GACGAACGCUGGCGGCGUGCUUAACACAUGCAAGUCGAACGAAGAGCGAUGGAAGCUUGCUUCUAUCAAUCUUAGUGGCGAACGGGUGAGUAACGCGUAAUCAACCUGCCCUUCAGAGGGGGACAACAGUUGGAAACGACUGCUAAUACCGCAUACGAUCUAAUCUCGGCAUCGAGGAAAGAUGAAAGGUGGCCUCUAUUUAUAAGCUAUCACUGAAGGAGGGGAUUGCGUCUGAUUAGCUAGUUGGAGGGGUAACGGCCCACCAAGGCGAUGAUCAGUAGCCGGUCUGAGAGGAUGAACGGCCACAUUGGGACUGAGACACGGCCCAGACUCCUACGGGAGGCAGCAGUGGGGAAUCUUCCGCAAUGGACGAAAGCCUGACGGAGCAACGCCGCGUGAGUGAUGACGGCCUUCGGGUUGUAAAGCUCUGUUAAUCGGGACGAAAGGCCUUCUUGCGAACAGUUAGAAGGAUUGACGGUACCGGAAUAGAAAGCCACGGCUAACUACGUG